rnacentral:tRNA from 1 species
AGAUGAAAACAAUUGAUUUCGACUCAAUAUAUUGGUUAUUAUAUUUAACCCAUCUU